AUACAGAGGGUGCGAGCGUUAAUCGGAAUUACUGGGCGUAAAGCGCGCGUAGGCGGCUUAUUAAGUCAGAUGUGAAAUCCCCGGGCUCAACCUGGGAACUGCAUCUGAUACUGGUAAGCUAGAGUUUUGGAGAGGGAAGUAGAAUUUCAGGUGUAGCGGUGAAAUGCAUAGAGAUCUGAAGGAAUACCAGUGGCGAAGGCGACUUCCUGGCCAAAAACUGACGCUGAGGUGCGAAAGCGUGGGUAGCAAACGGGAUUAGAUACCCAUGUAGUCC
rnacentral:rRNA from 1 species